rnacentral:rRNA from 1 species
AUGAAGAAUCUCAAGGAUGCUAAGACUAAGAUUUAUCCCUCUAAGAUGAGGGGAGGUAAGGAACUACCAUCCAGUUCUGCUUUAGAUUCACCUUCUGUUAUAAGUAAACUUGCAACACCACCACAUGCUAUCAAUUCUGAUAUGUCGCAAGUUAUUGAUGAUGCUACUUCUUCUAUAGAUAAUUCUUAUGAUUAUGCUAGUACCUUGCUUGAUGAUGAUGUGCCACUUGGUGACUUUCUUGAUGAACAAAUUGCUAGAGUAAUACAACAUGAUGUUGUUGAAUCUGAUGAUGAGCUUGAAACUGAAACUCCUGAAGCACCUGCUAGAACUAGCCUUCCUAGAAUGAAAUUUUUAUGCAAGUAUAAGGAAAAAUCUCUGAAUGCUAGAAUUAAAUAUGAUCCUAAGUUUGCUACUUCACCAAUCUUUAUUGAUGAUAAGGAUUAUGAAUUCUCUGUCGACCCAGAGUUAAUUACUUUGGUUGAAUCUGAUCCUUUCCAUGGUUAUGAAACUGAAACUAUUGUGGCACAUCUUACUAAGUUGAAUGACAUAGCCACCCUUUUUACUCAUGAUGAGAAGACUCGCUAUUACUUUAUUCUCAAAUUAUUUCCAUUCUCACUAAAUGGUGAUGCUAAAGCUUGGUACAAUACUCUUGCUCCUGGUUGUGUGCGUAGUCCCUAG